GGCAGGUGGAGUGGUAGGCCCUCCCUGGGGCUGCGCGGGGAGACAGAUGAGUAGGCUAUUGGAGGACAGACACAAGUACUACAGAAAUGCAAAACCCUAUAGAUCUGGAAAAGAUCGGGCCCUGGACUUGAAGCUUGGGCUGAGAACCUCUACACUGUGUACCUUCAGCACACUCUAAAUCUAAGGGAGGUGCUCGAGUCACUCCAGACUUACUGGUCAAUCAGAGCCUUUAGGCGGACAUGCCAGUCAGAAGAGAAGGCGGGUUUUCUGGGUGCCUUGGUGCGGGUUUCGCUUAGUAGCUGAGCAGGCUUGAAUCGUCCUGUGUGCUGUGCUCUCUGUCCUGCCGCUGGAUGCUGUGGAGGGUGCUCAGGCAAGCUCCGAAGUUGCGACAUGGUGAGCACGUGAUCACUGCUAAAAAUGGGGAGAAGCAGGGGUCUGAGGAGCGCGAGCUGGUGUGGUGGGUCUUUCCCGGGACUUAGUGGGAAUCGGCGGCCACGUGUGUGAGGUCCUAGCCACUCGCUGGACCCAGCUGUAGCCUCUGAAUCACUUCACUGUGGGGGCUGCAUCUGUGCAGAGCUGUCCCGACCCGCGGGACCCAGUUAUUCGGAGGGUCUGAGGGGGACCUUGCCUGAAAGAGAAAGGGGCGGGAAAGAAGGAGACCAAGUAGACAAUCCUAUCAAGGUCUGUUUAUUGCGAGUAAGGUUACAGAAUAAAAGCGAUAAGGAG
rnacentral:lncRNA from 1 species